CAAGAGUUGAAAAACUCCCUAAACCCUCUGUAAACUUACCUGUUCAGUUGCUUCGGCAGGCGGCCCCGGGGCGGGGCCUCCGGCCUGCGUUCAGCAGGUGCCUGCCGACAGCCCACUACCAAAACUAUGCUGUUCUGUACCGCUCCGAGUCACAACAAAAUGAAUCA
rnacentral:misc_RNA from 1 species